rnacentral:rRNA from 1 species
UACGUAGGUGGCAAGCGAUACUCGGAAUCACUAGGCGUAAAGCGCAGGUAGGCGGUUUGGUAAGUCUUUUGUGGAAAGCUCCCGGCUCAACUGGGAGAGGUCAAGGGAAACUACCAGGACUAGAGUGUGGUAGGGGAUACUGGAAUUCCUGGUGUAGCGGUGAAAUGCGUAGAUAUCAGGAGGAAUACCUAUGGCGAAAAGCAGGUAUCUGGGCCAUCAACUGACGCUGGAGCUGACGAAAGCUAGGGGGAGCAAACAGG